rnacentral:rRNA from 1 species
GGUUAGGUGAACCGGUCUACCACCGGGAUGUUCAUAACCCUUUGUUGUCCGACUCUGUUGCCUCCGGGGCGACCCUGCCUUCGGGCGGGGGCUCCGGGUGGACACUUCAAACUCUUGCGUAACUUUGCAGUCUGAGUAAACUUAAUUAAUAAAUUAAAACUUUUAACAACGGAUCUCUUGGUUCUGGCAUCGAUGAAGAACGCAGCGAAAUGCGAUAAGUAAUGUGAAUUGCAGAAUUCAGUGAAUCAUCGAAUCUUUGAACGCACAUUGCGCCCCCUGGUAUUCCGGGGGGCAUGCCUGUUCGAGCGUCAUUUCACCACUCAAGCCUCGCUUGGUAUUGGGCAUCGCGGUCCGCCGCGUGCCUCAAAUCGACCGGCUGGGUCUUCUGUCCCCUAAGCGUUGUGGAAACUAUUCGCUAAAGGGUGUUCGGGAGGCUACGCCGUAAAACAACCCCAUUUCUAAGGUUGACCUCGGAUCAGGUAGGGAUACCCGCUGAACUUAAGCAUAUCAAAAGCCCGGAGGA